rnacentral:rRNA from 1 species
UGGGGAAUAUUGGACAAUGGGCGCAAGCCUGAUCCAGCAAUGCCGCGUGAGUGAUGAAGGCCUUAGGGUUGUAAAGCUCUUUCGCACGCGACGAUGAUGACGGUAGCGUGAGAAGAAGCCCCGGCUAACUUCGUGCCAGCAGCCGCGGUAAUACGAAGGGGGCUAGCGUUGCUCGGAAUUACUGGGCGUAAAGGGCGCGUAGGCGGCCUGUUUAGUCAGAAGUGAAAGCCCCGGGCUCAACCUGGGAAUAGCUUUUGAUACUGGCAGGCUUGAGUUCCGGAGAGGAUGGUGGAAUUCCCAGUGUAGAGGUGAAAUUCGUAGAUAUUGGGAAGAACACCGGUGGCGAAGGCGGCCAUCUGGACGGACACUGACGCUGAGGCGCGAAAGCGUGGGGAGCAAACAGAUUAGAUACCCUGGUAGUCCACGCCGUAAACGAUGAAUGCUAGACGUCGGGGUGCAUNCACUUCGGUGUCGCCGCUAACGCAUUAAGCAUUCCGCCUGGGGAGUACGGCCGCAAGGUUAAAACUCAAAGGAAUUGACGGGGUCAUAGCUGUUUCCU